AAGGAGCACGAGCUCGAGAUCCACGACCACAACGGUCGUGACACUGAGCUGCUCGUUAGCUGUGGAGCACUGACUAUUCAGCCGGUCGUUGUUGUCUCGUCGCAAGUACAGCCCGCAAGGGUGGGAACGGGGCGCAGGGAGCAAGGGACGGUUGAGCACGCUGUUGGGUCCUGAAGGAACGGGCGACCGUUGUCUUCGGACUGCGCGGCCAGACCGCGGCCCCCGUCACAGGGGGUUUUCGUCUGGGCCGUCUGUUUUUUGAGAACUGCACAGUGGACGCGAGCAUCUUAAGCAAUUAAGAGCCUGGAUAUCCUGGACUUCGGUCCGGGUUUCAUACAGGUUCACAGUUUGCCUUGGUAUUUGGGCCAUUUUGU
rnacentral:misc_RNA from 1 species